rnacentral:lncRNA from 1 species
AUCAUCCUGUGGCAUCAAAAAGCCUUUGGGCUCUUAACUUCCAGUAUGGCCUGUUCCUCUGGGUAUUGUUUAGACAAACCCCCAGGGAGCUGGCCUCUCUCAGGUCCCUUUCCUGAGGCUCUGCUUGACCUGGGUCUGAUCCCAAGUCUGGCCGGUUGUGCCAGUGUGUGGGGGGCAUCUUCUCUCUGUCGUGACACAGGGGAGCCCCUGCAAAUUAGAUAGAAAGAAACACCAUUGCUCAGGCUGGAGGUGGCCUAGGCUGUGUGUCAACCUCAUUUCUUUGGUAAAGUGCCCCCACGAAGGCUCCGUUUGCCGCUGAAGGGAGACCAUGUACUUCAAAGCUGAAGGGUUUUUCUUGGGAGCAGAAGCAGAGGUGACCAGAGUCCUAAAUCAUCAAGACAGGAUGGAGGUGGGUCCAGCCCUAUGGGGCUUAGCAGGUGUUCUCCCCGUGUGUGGAGACGAGAGAUUGUUAUAAAUAAAGACACAAGACAAAGAGAUAAAGAGAAAAGAGCUGGGCCUGGAGGACUACUACCAUCAAGAUGCGGAAGACUGGUAGUGGUCCCGAAUGGAUGGGCUCACUGAUAUUUAUUGCAUACAAGACAAGGGGACAGGGUAAGGAGGGUGAAUCUUCUAAAUGACUGACAAGGUGAAGCAAGUCACGUGAUUACAGGACAGGAGGCCCUUCCCUUUUAGGUAGCCGAAGCAGAGAGAGAAGGCAGCAUACAUCAGCGUUCUCUUCUCUGCACUUAUAAGAAAGACCAAAGACUUUAAGACUUUCACUAUUUCUUCUACCACUAUCUACUGUGAACUUCAAAGAGGGACCAGAAGUACGGGCGGAGCAUGAAAGAGGACAAGGAGGGUGACCACUGAAGCACAGCACCACAGGGAGGGGUUUAGGCCUCCGGAUGACUGCGGGCAGGCCUGGAUAAUAUCCAGCCUUCCACAAGAAGCUGGUGGAGCAGAGUGUUCCCUGACUCCUCCAAGGAAAGGAGACUCCCUUUCGCGGUCUGCUAAGUAACGGGUGCCGUCCCAGACACUGGCGUUACCCCUUGACCAAGGAGCCCUCAAGUGGCCCUUAUGUGGGCGUGACAGAGGGCUCACCUCUUGCCUUCUGGGUCACUUCUCACAAUGUCCCUUCAGCACCUGACCCUAUACCCGCCGGUUAUUCCUAGGUUAUGUUAGUAAUGCAACAAAGAGUAAUAUUAAAAGCUAAUGAUUAAUAAUGUUUAUAAUAAUGAUUGAUAAUUGUCCAUGAUCAUCUCUGCAUCUAAUUUGUAUUAUGACUAUUCUUAUUCUAACUAUUUUAUUUUCUUUAUUAUACUGAAACAGUUUGUGCUUUCAAUCUCUUGCCUUGGCACCUAGGUACUCUUUCACCCACAAUUUCUUUUUCUGUAUUGAGGUAAUCUGAAAAAAAUGAGUGGAAGAGCUAACAAUUUCUACUAAAGAUAAGUAAUAAUGAAGCCCUUAAGAAAUAUUAUAAACCUGUACUAACUAAAAAAUAAAUAAACAUAUCUAAAUAAUGGACACUGCUCCCUCAUGGGCCAAAAGUAUAUAAGAAAUUAACCUGAAAGCAGUGAUAUCAUAAAAUAGUGAGAAAGGAAAAUUCAUUUAAUAAAUAGUAUUGAAAGCAAGAUUUGCUACAUAAAAAACCUCACUUGAUGUAGUCUAAAAUAAAUUUUGAUUAAAGUAACACGUAACUUCCACAUAAGAUUCUAAGACCAGGUAGUUCAACUUAUGAUUAUUAUUUUAAAAUUUGAAAAGUCUGCAAAAAAAGUCUAUUUAGAGUAGCUAAACUAGAGUACCUCUAAUUUUAGAGUUUAAAAAAUAAUAAUUAGGCUGGGCACGGUGGCUCACGCCUGUAAUCCCAGCACUUUGGGAGGCCGAGGUGGGCAGAUCACGAGGUCAGGAGUUUGAGACCAGUCUGGCCAACAUGGUGAAACCCCGUCUCUACCAAAAAUAUAAAAAUUAGCCAGGCGUGGUGGCGAGUGCCUGUAACCCCAGCUACUUGAGAGGCUGAGGCAGGAGAAUUGCUUGAACCCAGGAGGUGGAGGUUGUAGUGAGCCAAGAUCGUGCCACUGCACUCCAGCCUGGGUGACAGGGCAAGACUGUGUCUCAAAAAUAAAUAAAUAAAUAAAAAUUAAAAACUGUAAUAUUGUCUUUAUCUUCAGUUAAGAAAAACUUUCUAGGCACGAAAGCAAUGCAAGAAUUUACAAAUAUAGUAAUUAAUAUUUUUAGAAUCAAAAAAGUUAAAUGUGUAAUUUAAAAAAAUGAGAAUGCUGCAAAUAAAAACUUUGAAACUAGGUUAGGUUGAAACUAAUGUUACUUUUAGAAUCAAAUUCAUGGCCUUAAAUUCUUAUAUUAUUAACUAAGAAAAAGUUAAAAUAAAGACAGUUAAGCAUUCAGGAAAAUGUGUUAGGGAAAAAUUCAAGAAAACAGUUGGGUGCUGUGGCUCAUGCCUGUAAUUUCAGCACUUUGGGAGACAGAGGCAGGUGGAUUGCUUGAGUCCAGGAGUUCAAGACCAGCCUGGGCAACAUGGCAAAACCCUGUCUCUACUAAAAAUAUAAAAAAAAAUUAGCUGGGUGUUGUGGUGCACAUCUGUAAUCCCAAGAAGGAUGUAAUGCCCGAGAGGGUGAGGUGGGAGGAUCACCUGAGCCUGGGAAAUAAAGGCUGCAGUGAGCUAUGAUAGCACCACUGCACUCUGGCCUGGGCAACAGAGUGAGACCCUGUCUCAAAAAAAAAAAAAGAAAGAAAAGAAAACAAAUAUGGGAAAAUAGUAAAUAGUAGAAAGAAAAUAAUUAAGGCAAAUGUACAUAUUAAUAAAUUUGGGAAAACUUUUUACAAGUGAAUCUUUCUUUGAGAAACAUUUAACAGAAUAGACAGUGCUAGGCUAUAUCUGCAUCAUGAAGGCAGGAAUCCUAUCCUAUUUUCCCCCGGGUAUCCUCAACACCUAAAACAUUACCAAUAUUUCUUUUUGAAGAAAUGAGAAUAGAUAUACAAUGUGAAAAUAUUAUAAAAAGAUAAAACAUAAGUAUACAAAAUUAAGAAGAAAAAUGUGGGAAUAAUAUGCAGAGAAGAUAAAAUUAAAAUAUUUCUUCAAAUUUAAAAGCCUUUAUGGGAUGGAAAAUAACAUUUAUCAAAAUGAAGUUAACAAGAAAAAAAAUCUAUAAAGUAACAUCUAUGAGAAACUUGUUUAAAUUAUUUCCACAUAAGAAUCUAAGGCCUGGUAGUUCAAUCUAUGAUUAUUGUUUUAAAAUCUGAAAAGUCUGCAAUAUCUGUGCAAUAUAAACUGUUCCAAAGUACACUUUUAAAGUGUGUGGGCUGGGUACAGUAGCUCACACCUGUAAUCUCAACAUUUUGGGAGGCUAAGGUGGGAGGAUCACUUGAGCCCAGGAGUUUGAGGAUGCAGUGAGCUAUGAUCACAACACUGCCCUGCAGCCCGGGCAACAGAGCAAGUCCCCAUCUUAAAAAAUAAAACAUAAAGUAUGUGUGGGGGCUGGAGAAAGGGUAGAAAAAUCCAUCCUGUAAGUGUGGUAAAGAAUGUAUUUAUAUUAACAAUAUUAGCUGUCUCAUAUCCAAUGCUUAAAAUGUUUUGACUACCAUAAAAUUAAAAGUUUUUUUUUAAUGUGUCAAGAAAUGUCAUAAAGAAUGAUGAGUGAAGUAGCAACUCAGAAAAAUACU